rnacentral:lncRNA from 1 species
CACUGCACAGGCGCAGGGCCUGGCCACCAAGGCUGCGCGCCUGGGCGCGGGCGGGCGGGACCUACAGCGCACAGCGUUCCAGGGACCCGCGAGAGCCUGCCGGGGCCCUGGGCUCCACGCCCAGCCUGACGUGCUGCCUCCUGCCGGCGUCGCGGGGACAGGCUGCCCCUCGAGGUUCCUCUGUCCCUUUUCCCAGGACUGACCUGGCCAGGCGCCAGCCAGCGGGCCGGCAUCCGCCGGGACCUUCCUUGGUGGCGGCCGAGCGCCCCGAGGGCUCGCUUCUGAACUCCUGGGUCUGUGCUGGCUUCUCCCACAGCCAGGAGAGGCUGUUGUCCCAGCCAGGCCGCGCCAGCUGCCGGCGUGGACCACGGUGCCGGGUCCUGCCCAGAACAGUCGCCCCGCUGAGCAGCUCUGGCUCACAAAGACCGCGCCAGCGUCAUCCAGGCGCACACCGCAGCCAGGAUCUUGCAGUCUUGCAGAUUGAACACUAUAAACCGCAGUGCUGACCUCAAAUGCUCAAAUGGAUCCAGAAAACUACUGUUAAAAAAAAAAAAAAGGAUUUUAGGAGAAAAUGGAGCUGUAAUUAUAACCAGGUGAGAUUGUGCUGCUUAGACUCUAAGAUCUAA